GUAGGUGGCAAGCGUUGUCCGGAAUUAUUGGGCGUAAAGCGCGCGCAGGUGGUUCUUUAAGUCUGAUGUGAAAGCCCCCGGCUCAACCGGGGAGGGUCAUUGGAAACUGGGGAACUUGAGUGCAGGAGAGGAAAGUGGAAUUCCACGUGUAGCGGUGAAAUGCGUAGAUAUGUGGAGGAACACCAGCGGCGAAGGCGACUUUCUGGCCUGUAACUGACACUGAGGCGCGAAAGCGUGGGGAGCAAACAGGGAUUAGAUACCCUGGUAGUCCACGCCGUAAACGAUGAGUGCUAAGUGUUGGGGGGUUUCCCGCCCCUCAGUGCUGCAGCUAACGCAUUAAGCACUCCGCCUGGGGAGUACGGUCGCAAGACUG
rnacentral:rRNA from 1 species